rnacentral:rRNA from 1 species
AUACGGAGGAUCUGAGCGUUAUCCGGAUUUAUUGGGUUUAAAGGGUGCGCAGGCGGCCAUUUAAGUCAGCGGUUAAAUCGUGGGGCUCAACCCCAUUCUGCCGUUGAUACUGGGUGGCUUGAUUGCGGUCGGGGUUGGCGGAAUUCGUUGUGUAGCGGUGAAAUGAAUAGAUAUGACGAAGAACACCGAUUGCGUAGGCAGCUGACCAGACCGCAAAUGACGCUCAUGCACGAAAGUGCGGGGAUCGAACAGGAUUAGAUACCCUGGUAGUCCGCACAGUAAACGAUGAAUACUUGUUUUCGGCGAUAUAAUGUCGGAGGCAAAGCGAAAGCGAUAAGUAUUCCACCUGGGGAGUACGCCGGCAACGGUGAAACUCAAAUGAAUUGACGGGG